UUGGCACGCAGAUAACCUACAGUUGUACUUUUAAACAAUUAAGUAGGAUUAUACUACUCUUGUAAUAGUUUGAACUACUUAACUAAUAUGUUGUUUAGUCAACUAUUAUUAAUAAUCAGAACACUCAGAAAACAUUCCAUAUAUUAAUUGAACAUGAAUUACAGAGGAAUGUAAAUUACAAGGAUAAGAUAGAGGAUUAAUCUAUUUAGGAGGGGGG
rnacentral:lncRNA from 1 species